UUCACUGCUCACAGCGUGAUGGAGUCUUGCAAAGCUGUGUUGUUGGCAUUGAGGAGCUUCUGAGUAGAUGAAAUUCAGAAACUGAUGUCCACAAUAUUACGCAAUCAGGUUGGAACGAGCAUUGUUGGAGAGGAGUGGAGGAAAAUCAUUGUACAAAGUAUGCUGUGUUAUCAGUCUGAGUUGAUAACAUAGUGGGUAAUGGACGAAAGCUUCUGAGGCAAUCAAAUUUGUUCUGUCUUGUUUUUGUGAAGCAACUCUUUCUAUCCUUUAAGCAAUGAUAGAUUAAAAGACAAUCACAGUUAGACAGCGGAGUCAAGCUUAAACAAUUUAGUGGCGAUCUAGAACAAAUUAUUUCUCACAUUUUAGAAUCCAGAUAGAUUUUAGUAUUACAUGAUUUUGAUUUCCGAGACAACCAUCCUUGGCCUAUUUAGCAGCUAAUAGCCCUCUUUUAAUCUGAGAUAAAAGGGACUUUGCAGUCCAACCCAAAGUGUCAUGGUAAGCUGGAGGAAAUAGCUAAUUUGUAACGUGAGGAUGCAAGCAGGUUCAGAACUGACCGGCUCUGGAAUCGAAUGCCAACUGGGUUCUUGGAGCAAUGCGAAUAGCUGAACCGUUACAAAGUCCAACAAAUAUAGGGCCCAUGUUGAGCGCUGAAACGAUAUCCUACACGGUGUACACUAUAUAGUCGUGCAUACCUCCAAUCACG
rnacentral:lncRNA from 1 species